rnacentral:rRNA from 1 species
GACGAACGCUGGCGGCGUGCUUAACACAUGCAAGUCGAACGGAAAGGCCCUGCUUUUGUGGGGUGCUCGAGUGGCGAACGGGUGAGUAACACGUGAGUAACCUGCCCUUGACUUUGGGAUAACUUCAGGAAACUGGGGCUAAUACAGGAUAGGAGCUCCUGCUGCAGGGUGGGGGUUGGAAAGUUUCGGCGGUUGGGGAUGGACUCGCGGCUUAUCAGCUUGUUGGUGGGGUAGUGGCUUACCAAGGCUUUGACGGGUAGCCGGCCUGAGAGGGUGACCGGCCACAUUGGGACUGAGAGACGGCCCAGAGUCCUACGGGAGGCAGCAGUGGGGAAUAUUGCACAAUGGGCGGAAGCCUGAUGCAGCAACGCCGCGUGCGGGAUGACGGCCUUCGGGUUGUAAACCGCUUUAGCCUGUGACGAAGCGUGAGUGACGGUAAUGGGUAAAGAAGCACCGGCUAACUACGUG